GCGAGGAUGGCGGAACUGGUAGACGCGCUAGACUUAGGAUCUAGUAUCGAAAGAUGUGAGGGUUCAAGUCCCUUUCCUCGCACCA
rnacentral:tRNA from 1 species